UACGUAGGGUGCGAGCGUUAAUCGGAAUUACUGGGCGUAAAGCGUGCGCAGGCGGUUUUGUAAGACAGGCGUGAAAUCCCCGAGCUCAACUUGGGAAUUGCGCUUGUGACUGCAAGGCUAGAGUGUGUCAGAGGGGGGUAGAAUUCCACGUGUAGCAGUGAAAUGCGUAGAGAUGUGGAGGAAUACCGAUGGCGAAGGCAGCCCCCCUGGGACAUGACUGACGCUCAUGCACGAAAAGCGUGGGGGAGCAAACAGG
rnacentral:rRNA from 1 species